GCCCGUCUUGCUCAGUUGGUAAAGCACAAGGCUCUUAACCGUAUGGACGUGGAUUCAAGUCCAUGAUGGGGG
rnacentral:tRNA from 2 species